CCCAUCAGCAACCAGACUCAACAUCUGGACAUCACUCACCUCUGUCACACAUGUGCAGGUCAAGGUCUACCUUUGUACAUAGUGCUGAUCUCUGCUGCUGCUGCUGGAUCUCUGUUGAUUGUAGUUGUGAUCUGCUGCAUCUGCUGGAGAUGUAGAAAAACAGUCGAGACACAGGAGGAAGACAGGACUGAUUCAUCAAUGUGUAAACCAACAACACGACAAAAGGUAACAAGUUGCAAGACGUUUUUGCAGUCAGUUAGUGUGACUGUUUGAAGUUUGCAGCAUCAGACGGUCUGUGAACAGAUGUUUGUGGUUUAUUGACUCAACCGUCAUUAUUACCUUCAGUAGAGAGCAGAUCAAAAAGAUUGUUUAAGGCCACUAUUUGCACCUCAGUGUAAGUAUUUCCAUUUUACAGGGCUAUUGUGAUUUUUCAGGCUUCAAAAAAAUAAAAUAAAAACAUUAGUGCAAAUCAAAAUAUUAGUACAUAGAAUAUUUAUUAUUCUAUAUUAUUCAAAAUGAUCGUUGAUUUGUUUAAAAUCACAUGUAAUCUGGUUUGUUAUUAUAUAAUCACCUGUACAAAAUCAGCUUUUAUACCAUCAGAUUUUCUCUGGACAGAAAGUAGGACACAGAGUUGCUACCCAUGUUAGCUGUGCUGAAGUCUGUCCUCGUCUCUGCGGUUCAUGAUUAUCUGAACUGAAAUGCAGCUUUAACGGACGUUGGUUGCUUUGCAGAUGUGCUGCAACAAGUGCCUUUGCUGUUGCUUUAGUGUGAAAGACAGUCAUUCUCAGCACAGGCUGUUGUGACAAACCUGAUAAACUUAAUCUGUUUGAUGAUUAAACUGUUUUAAAGGUCAUGACUGAUGUCAUUUCCUCUUGCUGAUCCAUGUUAGCAUCUGUUCUGUAGGGAGACCGGGGAUGGUUGUAACAUUUUUUACUUUUCUGUCCGUAUCUUGGAGUUCUUUUAAGCCUGUGCAUUCAAAAUGUGAUUGAAACUAGUUAAGUGUCAGAUAUUAAAUGACAUAGCUGUUAUCUUUGCAGCACAAACAAAAAAAUGUGUGGUUUAGAUUCAAACACGAGAAGUGAAAUGUUAUAAUUCACCCCAUAGUCCGGGUUAGUUGUAACAGAUGUAACAUGACAAUCCACUGGCAAAAAAGUCUUGUAGUCAUGAAAUAGCUCAACUUACUGCUAACAUCCAAAACAAAACAGAAACCUAAGUUUUAUUAAUUUUUAAAUAAUUUUUAAUUAUUAAAAUUUCCUUUUGCACCAGCAGGUUCCUGAUUGAGUUUGUGUUUCCUUUCAGAAAUCAAAGACGGAGUCUGUGUAUGAAAAUGUAUGAAAAUACUGUAUCUUUCUACUGGAACUGAUGUUAGAGCUCAUACAGGUGCAGAACACACCAAGCCGAUGCCGAAAAAACUAGUGGCGACGAAAGCAGACUGUGGGGUUGGCUCACGUCAGCAGUGUCUGCAUGGGUCAAAGUUGGCCUGACACACCAAACCAACGCUCGACACUCGACGGGCAAGUAGCACGUCCUUUUAAGAUGAAAUGCUUUUCCGAACCAGCAGGUGGCGGUAGCUGAACAGCCAAUCAGAAUGAUCAGAUGGACCGACGGACCGACGAGCUCCAACGCCGAUUCAACAUGUCGAAUCGGCCCUGAAAAAAGCCAAACAGGACUAAUUUCACCCGACACUGUGCAAGACACUGAGAAAAC